rnacentral:rRNA from 1 species
AUUGAACGCUGGCGGCAUGCCUUACACAUGCAAGUCGAACGGCAGCGGGGGAGAAGCUUGCUUUUCCUGCCGGCGAGUGGCGAACGGGUGAGUAAUACAUCGGAACGUGCCCUGUAGUGGGGGAUAACUAGUCGAAAGAUUAGCUAAUACCGCAUACGACCUGAGGGUGAAAGUGGGGGACCGCAAGGCCUCAUGCUAUAGGAGCGGCCGAUGUCUGAUUAGCUAGUUGGUGGGGUAAAGGCCUACCAAGGCGACGAUCAGUAGCUGGUCUGAGAGGACGAGCAGCCAAACGUGGACUGAGACACGGCCCAGACUCCUACGGGAGGCAGCAGUGGGGAAUUUUGGACAAUGGGCGGAAGCCUGAUCCAGCAAUGCCGCGUGUGUGAAGAAGGCCUUCGGGUUGUAAAGCACUUUUGUCCGGAAAGAAAUGGCUCUGGUUAAUACCUGGGGUCGAUGACGGUACCGGAAGAAUAAGGACCGGCUAACUACGUGCCAGCAGCCGCCGUAA